UUUGAGAUUAAAGUGUUUUUCAGAUAGCAUGGGUACGGUGACAGUCGCCUGUAUGAAGUUCAUGAAUCGCGACAAACAUUCAAGAGUGAAAAGAACUGUCAUCCGCAGCGUCCUACAUGAAACAAACUGUAGUUGAACGCAGUAUACCUACCCACCAACUAACAGUCAACGCCUAACUUUAUUAUCGACUUCUCUAUUGGUACCCUAUUUUGUAUUCAUGAUUUCUUUAGUUCAUAACAAUGCUUGUAACCAGGCGAUAGAUUGAUCGAUGUGUUUUUAUUAAGUAGUCAUACGCUAUAGCCGUUAGACGUAAACAAAACGAAGAAAUGGGCCUCACCAGUAACACGGGUUUAUUGGCCAGUGUGCAAGAAAAAUAUGUAUUACCAAGACAGAAGAGCACCCAAGAAACAGAGCUGCGAUGCGAAGUGGCGCCGGCGCCGUUCAUGCUGCGACCGUACGCCGGUCUCUACAACCCUUUCUCGCAUGCCUGCUCUGUGCUCUGCAACCAUCCAGCUGACAAUGCGGCCAGGGAGUUUGUAAAAAAGGCAAAGGAUGCUUGGUUUCUCGAAGGCAAAGGUCAUUUAUUCCAAGAGGACUUGUCAAAGUUCCAAGACCAGGAAAAGGAAAAGAACAGAACGCCGCAUGACAUCGUAACAGAAGAUAUGUUUAGAAGAUAUGCAGAAACAGACUCCCGCCCUUUGACACCCGCGCCAACGCUCGCCAGUGGAAAGUCCAGAGGAUCACGGAGAUGCUUAACUCCUGACCAGCCCCAUCAGAGAACUACCAUUGUAUUGGAUUUGAGGAGAAGUCAUAGCCAGGAAACCCUAUAUUACCACGGCUACGGUACUUCGGAGAUAACAGCAGCCCAAUCUCCAAGCGUCAAUGAGAGAUCUACUCUACCGUCACUGAAUCUCUCCGGCGGCGCUCAUCGCCUGGUGAACCAGUGUGAACAGUUACCGCCACUGGCCUCCCCACUAGUGCUGGCCAAGAGGACGCCUAAAGAACCUGUCAGUGUUAGAAGUGUUAAAAAGAACCAACUGAAAGCUUUGAACCUGGGUAAAGUUUUAAAAAAUAAAAAAGCUGACGCUCCGGCCUCUCAACGAUCAAAAGACAAAGAAGAUAACGAUGGCAGUGAACAAAAUGUGGAUGAAGGAGGUGGUGAAAUACGUCGACGCGGCAAGCGGCGUCGCAAGGGAAGGACUGGAGGCAGCGACCGGUUGACUUCUGCAGGUCUGGCAGCGCAGGCGCAGCAAGAUCCUGAAACACAAAUUUCUGGAAUAGUAACAGACUCACAGAACCCCAGUUCCCGAGGGUCCGUGGCUAAGGCAGAUGAUGAUAUUUUACUGCCGGUCGUCAAAUCUGUACCGGCGAGGAAGACGGAUUCGUUCCUGGAUGAUGAUAUACUGAAGUACUUGCAUAGGGAGGUCGAUGAAGAUGCUAUUGAAACUGAAUUUGAUACAAAGAGACGUUAUGUGCUAGAGGAGGCGUUGCGCACUCGGCCCGAGCGUCAGUACGGGCAGGAGAUGCAGACUCUACUCCGCGAAUACCGCGUCCCGGCUGUCAGUUUGGGGGACUGGCUCCAUAUACCGCGCGUGUUCUCGCGCCAGAACGCUCAGUUCAGCCUGCCGUUGGACUCUAAUGCUUUAGAAAGUAUAAGUCCAAUGAAUUACGCAGCCAGAUUUGUUACUGUGAAGAAAUCGAAGCAGUUGCUCUAUGUAACAGUAUUAAGAAAAUUUCGCUCCAGAGGCUACAGGAUGCCAAUAAAGGACAUACACGAAGGCCUCAUCCUCAUGAUGGGUGGCAUCCUUUCCGCGGAGCAAGUGAACCAAUUCCAGACAAUAAUGGAGUGGGACCAUUAUGAGGAAGAUGAAAAUAUUCCCGAUGAGAUAAAACUCACUUUACUUGAUACUGGUUUCAGGAAACCAGUGGUUAUUGAAGGAGGGGACAGUGCUGAGGUAAUGAACCUAUCUAUUUACCUGAUGACCAGCAGGGUUAUGAGUUACACAGAGGCCAGAGUACCAUUUUAUUAAUGGUGUGUUUUCAGCGUAAUUAUAUAACUGUCAUUUUACCUACAUUGCCACUAGUAUAGUAGUGGUAGUAGCAAAUAGUAACGUAAUUUUGUUGAAGUAAUCAUAUUAGACAAUUGUAAAAACGAAAUAGUAGAUUGUUAACCGAGGGUGGAAAGAAUCAAUUCCCGAGGUAUUUAGACGCACGAGCGUAGCGAGGGCGGCUAUAGUCCGAGUAGGAAUUGAUUCUUUUACCCGUGUUAAACACUUAUUAUUAUUAUUAUUUAUUAGCUUUAUUCGGAAUAACUCAUACAAAUUACUUCUCAGUUCUCACGUAUUCUUCCCUCCAUAGAGAGAAUAACUUAUUCCCUACCUAUGGAUGGAAGCAGCAUUUUUCACCCAAUACUUAGAUCAAAACAACACUUCUUUCCGGGUAUGAGAAAUGAAAAAUCACUGCCACUUUAAGUAAAAUUGGAUAGGCAAGGUAAUUUUGUUGUAAUAUCUAUGGUAGAUGCGAUGAUUCUCUAUAAUUUGCAAAAGUAUUGCGAAUUUUGUGCUGACUUUCGAUCCGAUAUAUCUCCGACUUGAAUAAGCUUUAUUUUUAUUUGUUUGUAUUGAAAUAUUGUUGCAGGCGGACGCACCUACCAUAAAAUUCAGGACUUGGUGUGGACUUUGCGCAAUAUGCGAACGAAUGUACGGAAGGCUUCCACCGAGGGAAAAAGAUCCACCUGAUGGAAUGGAGCUAAGCGACUUCACCAUGAUCGAAACAAGACUUGUCGU